UACGGAAGGGGCAAGCGUUGUUCGGAAUCAUUGGGCGUAAAGGGCGCGCAGGUGGUCUUGUAUGUCUACCGUGAAAGCAUACGGCUCAACCGUGUUCCGUCGGUAGAAACUGCAGGACUUGAGGCUGGGAGGGGCUGGUGGAAUUCCCUGUGUAGCGGUGAAAUGCGUAGAGAUGGGGGAGAACACUCGUGGCGAAGGCGGCCAGCUAGACCAGUUCUGACACUGAGGCGCGACAGCGUGGGGAGCAAACAGG
rnacentral:rRNA from 1 species